rnacentral:rRNA from 1 species
GACGAACGCUGGCGGCGUGCUUAACACAUGCAAGUCGAACGGAAAGGCCCUGCUUGCCGGGUACUCGAGUGGCGAACGGGUGAGUAACACGUGGGUGAUCUGCCCUGCACUUCGGGAUAAGCCUGGGAAACUGGGUCUAAUACCGGAUAGGAGCCAUUUUUAGUGUGAUGGUUGGAAAGUUUUUUCGGUGUAGGAUGAGCUCGCGGCCUAUCAGCUUGUUGGUGGGGUAAUGGCCUACCAAGGCGGCGACGGGUAGCCGGCCUGGGAGGGUGGACGGCCACAGUGGGACUGAGAUACGGCCCAGACGCCUACGGGAGGCAGCAGUGGGGAAUAUUGCACAAUGGGGGCGAGCCUGAUGCAGCGACGCCGCGUGGGGGAUGACGGCCUUCGGGUUGUAAACUCCUUUCGCUAGGGACGAAGCUUUUUGUGACGGUACCUAGAUAAGAAGCACCGGCUAACUACGUG